rnacentral:rRNA from 1 species
ACGCUGGCGGCAUGCUUAACACAUGCAAGUCGAACGGUAACAGGCGGAGCUUGCUCUGCGCUGACGAGUGGCGGACGGGUGAGUAAUGCUUAGGAAUCUGCCCAGUAGCGGGGGACAACGUGUGGAAACGCACGCUAAUACCGCAUACGCCCUACGGGGGAAAGCAAGGGAUCUUCGGACCUUGCGCUAUUGGAUGAGCCUAAGUCAGAUUAGCUUGUUGGUGGGGUAAUAGCCUACCAAGGCGACGAUCUGUAGCUGGUCUGAGAGGACG